rfam:Schistosoma mansoni strain Puerto Rico chromosome 4, complete genome
AUCCAGCUGAAGAGUUCAAAAUGGGACGAAACGCGCGUCAAACUGGAU